GCGUGUGUGGCGAAAGUCGGUAUCGCGCCCGGCAUCCGGCCGGGAGAAGCAGGUUCGAGUCCUGCCGCACGCU
rnacentral:tRNA from 1 species